rnacentral:rRNA from 1 species
ACGCUCGACACCUACGGGAAGCAGCAGUGGGGAAUAUUGGGCAAUGGAGGCAACUCUGACCCAGCAACGCCGCGUGAAUGAUGAAGGUCUUCGGAUUGUAAAGUUCUGUGACGGGGGACGGAACACAAUGACGGUACCCCGACUAGCAAGCCACGGCUAACUACGUGCAGCAGCCGCGGUAAUCUGAGCGGGCUGGCAAGGC